rnacentral:rRNA from 1 species
CAGUCGCCGCGGGAAUACAGAGGGUGCAAGCGUUAAUCGGAAUUACUGGGCGUAAAGCGCGCGUAGGUGGUUUGUUAAGUUGGAUGUGAAAUCCCCGGGCUCAACCUGGGAACUGCAUCCAAAACUGGCAGGCUAGAGUAGGGCAGAGGGUGGUGGAAUUUCCUGUGUAGCGGUGAAAUGCGUAGAUAUAGGAAGGAACACCAGUGGCGAAGGCGACCACCUGGGCUCAUACUGACACUGAGGUGCGAAAGCGUGGGGAGCAAACAGGAUUAGAUACCCCAGUAGUCCCUGUCUCUUAUAC